AGCUGAUAUUUGUUUACAUACCGGUUUCAAUCAAGUUUCAUACCGAGCAGUGCGAAACAUCAAUUGAAAAUCUUUAAUUGUGGGAUAUUUACAGGAGAAGUGGAGAAAUAGAAUAAUUAGAAGGAAUUGUUUUAAUUGUUUAUGAUAUAUUAACUUUUAAGAUCUUUUGUAAGCUAAUUUAGUGAUAUCCAGGAAGUGAUUGUGCAAGUUUUUAAAGUUCACAUUUUAUACUGCUGAAGUAAACCGAAUCAUAUUUAAGCAAGCGAGGUAGAAGUAUAGUUUAAAAUCUUUGAAAACAACUUUUAAAUAAGGUAUAGUUAUUGUACUAAGUAAAUGUAUAAAUUACACUUUGAUGACGUAAUGACAUGACUUAUGUUAGUGAUAUUACAUAUAACGUUUCAUCAAAAUCAUCUGUUUGGCAACAAACUGGAGAGCAUUUGGACUUUGAUGAUGCAACAAGCCAUCACAUUUGUUAUUCAUAAAAAUUGUUACUUGGACAUACGUAUAUAAGGAGUUGAAAUUUAGUUAGAGUUGUGAUAAAAAAAUUGUUUCGUUAAAAGUUAAAAAAUGAAUUCAUCCGGUGCGCCAAAGCUGCCGAAAUCUCACAGACAUGGAAGAUGCGGAUCAGCAUCAUGUCCACAUAUGGUGCAAGCCCCAACGGUCAUCUCAAUGGUGGGCCUACCUGCCCGUGGAAAGACGUACAUGUCGAAGAAGCUCACUCGAUACCUAAACUGGAUCGGUAUACGAACUAAAGUGUUCAAUGUCGGUGAAUAUAGAAGGGCAGCCACAGACAAGUAUCGAAACCAUGCAUUUUUUGAUAUGGCCAACACAGAAGCCGUAGCGAUUCGACAGAAAUGUGCUUUGAUGGCAAUAGAUGAUGCCUGCAAAUUUUUACACAGCGGUGGAGAGGUGGCGGUUAUAGAUGCAACUAACACAACAAGAGAGCGACGGCGGUUGUUAAAUGAUAUCAUCUGUAAUAAAAAUGGGUUUCGUUUAUUCUUUGUGGAGUCUAUAUGUGAUGACCUUAAUAUAAUAGAGGCAAAUAUACUUGAAGUGAAAGUAUGCAGUCCAGACUACCUUGGUAUGGAUAAAAACGAAGCAGUUGAGGACUUCAUGCAGCGUAUAGAACAUUACAGACAAAACUACCAGUCUAUGGAUUAUACGUAUGACAAAGAUCUGUCUUUUAUACAAAUCUUCAAUCAGGGUGAAAGAUUCCUUGUAAAUAAACUUGCAGGGCAUUUACAAAGUAGAGUUGUAUAUUAUUUAAUGAAUAUACAUGUGUUACCGAGGACCAUAUAUCUGACACGGCAUGGCGAAAGCAUGAUGAAUCUCCAGGGUAGGAUUGGAGGGGACAGUGAGCUCUCCCCUAGGGGCAUGGAGUAUGCCAAAGAGCUUGCCAAGUUUGUAGAAAAUGAGAAAAUUCCAAAUUUAAAGGUGUGGACAAGUGAGCUUACAAGAACUAUACAGACAGCCCAGUUUAUAGAUGGUCCAAAAGCUCACUGGAAAGCUCUUAAUGAAAUAGAUGCUGGUAUAUGUGAAGGGUUUACGUAUGAAGAAAUAGCAGAGAAAUAUCCAGAGGAGUUUGCCAAAAGGGACCAAGAUAAAUAUCACUAUAGAUACCCAACAGGAGAGUCAUAUCAAGAUCUGGUAGCGAGAUUAGAACCUGUUAUCAUGGAAUUGGAGCGACAAGAAAAUGUAAUGGUUGUGUGUCACCAGGCAGUCGCAAGAUGUCUGCUUGCUUACUUUCAGGACAAGUCGUCAGGGGAAAUCCCUUACGUUCCUGUCCCCCAACAAUCGUUAGUGAAAAUGAAGUUGACGGGAAUUGGCGAAUGUGAGAUGGAAGUAGUGCCAAUACUCAGAGGAUCUGGCGUACCUGAAAGUUCCGCUCCACACAGUGAUAAAGCUAACGCCAGUGGCUUAUGGCUGUAGGGUAGAAUUCGAAAGCCUAAAUAUACCGGCUGUAAAUACGCACAGGGAACGCCCUGCGAAUACAGAGCUGAACAGAUCCAUAGAUGAUGCUAUGUCAACUGUACCACCAGUAGAUGAAGUCGAAGGGGAGGAAACAGAUAUUAUUAAUGAGCAGGAGGACCCACCUGUAGUCUAGUGCAUCGAUAACAACCCGCUAGAGGACCCGCCUGUAGUCUGUUGUUUACAUGUUGCAGCUACCAGAUAAACAUGUUCCUAGAUUGCAUAGAAACUGCUUUUGAUGUCUGUCUUGAGCCAUCUUUUGACAUUAAUACUCAUCUGUAUAAAAACAGCUUUUGGUAUCUGUGAAAAUCCUACUUUUGAUGUCAGCAAAUUUCUGCUGUUCAUAUCAAUACAAAAAAAUGCUUUUGAACAAAACUUUUGCUGUCAGUAAGAUGCUUUAUGCUCCCCAAAUUCGAGUUUCCCCUGUCGCUCAGUAAGGAGAGGGCAAAUAUAUAGAUCGUGGGGUCAUGAGUUUGAUCCCCGGACAGGUCUAUGUUCUCCGACGAUUUGAUGAAAGGCUUUGUGUCUGAAAUCAUCCGUCCUCCACAUUUGAUUCAUGUGGGGAAGUUGGCAGUUACUUGUGGAGAACAGGUGUUUACUGGUACAGAAUCCAGGAAUGCUGAUUAGGUAUAUUGCCGGCAAUUACUGAAAUACUGUUGAAAAACGGCAAACAAACAAACAAACAGAUAUAAUCUUCAUGUAAAUUGUUGACACUUGCCCGCUUUUGACAAACAUGCUUUAACUGCAAAUAAUCUGAAUGUAGGAAUUACUUUAGAUGACAACCUGAUUGCAGUAUCUGAGUAUGGUUUCAAUAGGAGAAAUUGCAAUUGGUUUUAAGAAUGGAAAUUGCCCCAUUUCAAUAGAAAUUGCAAUUGGUUUUAAGAAUGGAAAUUGCCCUAUUUCAAUAGAAAUUGCAAUUGGUUUUAAGAAUAGAAAUUGCCCUAUUUUAAUAGAAAUUGCAAUUGGUUUUAACAGUAGAUAUUUCCCUAAUUUCAAUUUAUUGUAAAUAUGAAUAUUUUUAGGCAUACUAGGCAUACUACAAAACAUGGAGUGGAGUCGUGGAGUGGAGUCAUGGAGUGGAGUGGUGGAGUGGAGUCAAAAUUGGAGUGGAGUCGUGGAGUGGAGUCAAAUUUGGAGUGGAGUCAAAUUUUGGAGUGGAGUCAAAUUUGGAGUGGAGUCAUUGAGUCAAAAUUUUGAAAUGUUGUAUUAAGCCUGUGAAGCUCCAUCUAAAUUCCUGUUAACAAAAUAAUUGAUUUAUUGCCCUUUGGAGAAAAUGCGAGUCAGUAUAUAAUAUAAUAUAUUUCUGAAAAAAUAAAUGUAGUGUCUAUGUUCUAGUUCCAUGUAUUUCUAACACCUACCAUGCGGUUGAUUAAAUAUUUAAAGGUUUUAUUAGGGUAUAUUGGAUGGUUGUUGCCUACAUUAAUUUUCAUUUUAAGUGACAGGAGAAAGGACGUGCAUUAUCAUAGUGGUGUCAAUUCCAAUUAAAAAUGAUGAAAAAAAUUUGUAGCAUUUUAUGAUGUAGCACUGGAUUUAUUAUUCAAAUUUGAAAUGGCAUUUGCUUUUAUAUGUUAAAUGUUCAUCACAUGGAGAUAACAUGUUAUUUUUCUUGUUUUUUUUUUCUUGUUAAUAUUAAAAAUAACAGACUUUUAGGUGAAACUUUAUAAAAUACAUGUUUCUUAUCUGUGAAAUGCAUUUGAGACCACUCGGAUGAAGGGGCUAUUGGAAUCAUUAGGUCAAUGUGACCAUUUGAAGAGAAUUUUCUUUUAAGCAUUACAAGCAACAGCCCAUUUCUUAACGAUCUUACCAUCACACUUGCACCAGAUUUUAAUUCUUCAUAUCAUUUGGAUUGAUGCAGAAAUGAAAGUGUAAACAUGGGAAUCAUUUUAUUUUUUAUAGAUCAAGGCCUUAUAGCUCUGACUCUGCUAGACUUUUUAGUCUGAUUUGCCUUGUAAUCACUCCUGAUCUAGAUCUAGAUCUUAAGAUCACUUCAUAUUGUAUAUAAAUAUGAUUAGGAUUCCAAAAGAAAUCAAGAUACAUGUAAUGUACUAGAUCUAACAAGGUGAUAUGUAACAAAUUGUGUUAUACUGAAGGGGCGACAACUCUUGACUUACAGUAUACAGGUGUAGCCCAGAAUCAAACUUGGCUGAGAUUUUAAGAUUACAUGUGCAUUGUAUUUUAUUUUGAUAUGUGUGUACAUAGAUGAAAUAGUAAUAAAUUAACUAAAUUAUUUGCCCAGUAUAUUUCCAGAAGGUAUUUAGCUACCUGUGAUAAACACAGAAUGGUGAAAAUCAAUGAAAAAUCCAAGUAAUAGACAGUUUUGGAUGGCAGAAACAUACCAUAGAAGUGGUAAACUUAGCAAGGUGGAAAUUUUGGCAAAUUGUAAAAAUUCGCUAAUAUUUGUAAAUAAAAUUGUAAUGUACCAUAACAAUGUAUUAUCAUUACAUAAGUCAGGAAGUCAGAAAUUUGCUAAAAAUUUGUGCACCCCAAACAGAUGGAUUUCAAAAAUUGUUAACUUUUUGACACUCAGAAAUACGAGGGUCGUUCAAUAAAUAAUGCUACUCCAUGUGUAGUUCCUUAACUGGUGGUUAUUUUUCAGUGCGGUUUUACACUGUAAAGCAAUUUUUUGGGAACAAAGUAACAUCGGAAUAAAAAAAUCGUUAAAGCCAAAUUAUUAAAAAAUAAUUAUUUGAAUGAGGUGUACAUGCUGGUUACUGGAGCAUAUCAAAAAAUAAUCAUAACUUCGGUUUGACCUGGGCAUCCAGGUCUCAGAAUAAUAGAAUAACUUGUGAAAUCUCAUAAUUCUAUCAUUUUUGUACGAGAUACAGCAAUUUGUGAUGAGUUUGAGUUUGAGUUUGUUUUUAAACACUUAUUGCGUUUUUCAUUUUACAAGACAACUAAAACAUCUUAACUCUAGGUUAAUUCCAUCUGAAAUGAGUCUCGCUAGCGGUUAAUCUUAAGUUGUAAGAACUUGUUUCGCAAUCGAAAAUAAAGAAAUUAGUGUAAACUUAAAAUACAAGAAUUUUUUCAACGAUCAACAUCACACCUGACAAAAUUGCAGAGGCUUAUUGUAUUCAACUCCUCAUUUUUUGAGUAAAAAUGUGCAACCAUUUAAUACAGUAACACUAAAUUGUGGGUUGCUAUAAUGGAAAAAUGUUUCAUUGUAGCAACCUGCAGCCCGCAAAAUAUAUACAUGUACACAAAAUUGCGGGUUUCGGGCUGCAGGUCGCGGGUUGAUACAAUAGAAAUUUUGUCAGCAAUAAAAUUAAUGAAUUUAACACACCAACAUGCAUGCUACUUAUUUUUUUAUUUACCCGAGCUAAACGGUAGUCAAUAUUGCAAUAUCAGUGGACAUAAACAAUUUUAAACACUAAUAAUGCAUAAUCACAAAUAUUAAAUUAUUUAUGUAACAAGUUUAAAUAUCUAAAUUUUAUCUGACUCAUAAAUACCUCUUGUUUAUUUUAAAUUAAAUACUGUUGAAAUAAUUCAUCUAAUAAGAUAAUUAAACUUGUAAAUUGAUAUUGAUAUUUGGUAUUUAGAAUGGGACUGAAAGGUUCUCAUAAUAAAUCUGUCAACAAGUUUUGAAAAUGAUCUAAGGCCAAGUGAAAAAUUUGUUAAGUAAAACAACAAAAACAACAAACUUCAAUAAAAAAAAAAAAACACUGAUGAGGAGUGUUAUAUUUGUUCACUGAUAAAGGUUAUGAAAAAUUAUGUCUAUUAUUAUACCCAACCCAUCAGAGAAUACAUCAAGUAGUAAUUAGAACAUGCUCCUACAGUUGUUCAGUUGGAACUUAGUUUUGGAAACUUGGUUAUUACUUUUUACCAGUAUUUUAUACUGUGGUCUAUUUGAAUAUGUUCCCAUGGGUUGACCGCCUUUUGAUUUGUUUACAACUGUUCUCAAAUAAAUAAAUUUGUAUUUCAUAUCUAUUACCGUGUUCAGACUACGUUUUUAAUCCUACAUUAACUUGGGUUUAUUUUUUAAACUAGUUUGCGUCCACACUAUAUGUGGUGUAAAACGUGAAUUUUGUAAAGGUCAAGUGGUUUCUGUAAUGUAGCAUUAAAACUACCUCAGGAGGUGGUUUUAAUACUACAUUAAAAAGUAAUGCUACAUUAUUUUACAAAUGUGAACGCAAAUGUGGGUUAUAACUGGUUUUACAAUCCCAAAUCCACAGAUCUUACCUUUUGGAGGAAGAAUACCAUGUGUUUCUCUUUUGUAUCAAACAAUUGAUGCUGUGGCUGGCAAAAUUAAUUGGACUGUUGUUGAAACAAAAACAUUAAAUUGCGAUAUGGAGUCAUGCUGACGCUCAAAAUGGACAAUAGAUGGAAUGAACAGAAAUUCUUAGAUGAACACAGAAGUUUAAUAUUGAUGACCCCUUCUUGUUUCUGUUAGCUUCAAUUCUUUGUAACCUUUUUUGCUUAUUGCAAGAUAUCUGUUAACUUCCAACAUUGCAUGUAUAUAUUUAAACCACAUUUCUUUGCCUAGUGUGGACGCAAACUGGAUUAUAUUUUGAUGGGUUUUGAAUGUCAAAUACCAAUUAUAGCCAAUUAGUGCCUAAUAAAAAUAAAACCGUUCGGCUAGUGUGAACACGGUAAUGUGAUGCUUUAAAAUCUCUUCAAAAACAAUGAGAUAAAAUAUACUGACAAUUAACAAUUUGACCAAGCCCUCUGUUCCGUGUGGCUACAAUCAAUGUAAGACAAAAGCAUUAUUAUGUUGAAUAGUUAUAAAAAUAUCAAUAAAUAAAUAUUAUUGAUAAAACAAAUUUGACUCCACUCCAUGACUCCACUCCAUGACUCCACUCCAAUUUUGACUCCACUCCACUCCAAAUUUGACUCCACUCCAUGACUCCACUCCAAUUUUGACUCCACUCCACCACUCCACUCCAUGACUCCACUCCACGACUCCACUCCAUGUUAUGUAGUAUGCCAUAUUUUUAUGACGUUUUACGAAAACAAUAAAAUGCAUCUUAAUUAUUACCUCCCUUUAUUAUAUAUAAAAUUUUGAUAAAUACUGUCUGCAGGUUUUGUUUGGAACGUAAUUUGAUUAAUUCUGGCAUAUAUUGUAUUCGCUAAAUAAAUUAGCACAUAAUAUUAUAAACAGUUAGAUUACUUUUUUAAAUGUUCAAUUAUCUUGUUAAUAAUUUAAUGUCUUUCCUUCACAUAGAUAACAAAGUGUGCCUUUAUCGUGGCUUUAUGAAUUUUAAAAUGAAUCUCUGUUAGAUUCUACCUUUAAAACUUUUGUAUUUGAAUCUUCAAUAAUUAACUGUUAUUUCCACUUCUUUGAAUAUCAUUUACUGGCCGAGUCUCUGUGGAAAUUCAUGUAUCAUUUGAUCCAGUUAAUUAAUGAUGAGUUUAUGUGUAUUAUCUAAAUUAUAACGUCUACAACUAUUACAUUGAAAAAUAGUAUAAUAAUGUAUAUUAUUUAACAUUCAUAGACGUAUUAUUUCAUGAUGCACUUCUAUCAGCCAUUUAUGGCGUCUGAACGUCGAUGUCCAUUUGGCGCGUCAACGUCAUCUCCGUAUUUCACGUAUCAUUGUGUAUGUUAUUGUCAACUGAAGAAGCUUAUUAAAGCGAAACAUGUUUUGACGAAACUGUGUUGGUUUAUGAAUUUUCAACAUCAUACCUAAUUUCAAUAGAAAUUGCUGUAGAUCAGUGAAACUGCUACUGGUAUCAACUAGAAGAUGGGAUUUUGUUUUGGCUAAAGAAAAUGUUAUAUUCAAUGACAGAAACUGCUGUUAAAUUUUAUUGUUGAUACGAGGAUAAUUGUUGAUUACGAAAGCCAAGCAGAGUAUUUUUUAUUCAUUCAAUGUAGACUGUGCGAUAUUUACAAUGUUUUUAUUUUCUAUGAUAUUCACAAAUAAUUUUACCCAUGAAUUCAGAAUUGUUUGUCAAUGUGCAUCAUGUCAUAAAACACAAAACAUUUUGUGUAUCCAAAAUUUUUAGCACGGUGAAUAAGCCUGUUAACCAUGAAAUUGCUAUAUAGUCUACAUGAAAAUAACCGAUUAAUAAUGGGAGUCCUUUUUAUACCAUAGAGUGCUGUGUGAUAUGAAUAGUCUUCCUGGGUAAUGUAGUUUUUGCUUUACUUAUCUAAAUACUUAAGAAUAAUGUUCAUAUUUCACUCCCAUUAUUGCAUGGUUAAGGCACUUUUAUAGGUUUUACCUAAGUUAUCACCUUAAUUUGAUAAAAAAAAAUUUAUAUAAAUUUUUACCAGGGCUCCAGAAAUUUUGAUAACUCAAUCGGUCCGAAACGAAAAUCCAGACAUCGGCGCUACCCCACCCACCGCAUUACCAAUACACCAUAUUUUGUAAAACGCGAUAAAGCAAAGAAAUAAGCAUGUCAUGCAUUAAAACUGAGUUACCGGUCACCGUGAGUUACCUUACAAUGAAGACAGUUAUUCAGUGUUAUAUGUGAUUGUUUCUUUGUUUAUAUUUCGAUGUUUUCCGAGAAAAUACUUGCAAGGAUAAAAUUGUCGAGGCAUUGACACCGUGUACGAAACUAGUCUAAAAGCCAACGCACGUGACUUCGAUACUGUAUACACGGCAGAUACCUUGUGAUGUUUCCUCAUUUUUUUUACGGAAUUUUAUAAAAUACAAUGCAUUAAAGUGAAUUACACGACACAUAUUCUCUUCUAAACAGCCAUACUCUGCCACGGGCCGAAUGUGUAUGUUAUGUGAAUGCUGAGAUCGAAUUCCCCACAUGCAGAAGGUCACGCGGGUUGGCCACGGAUAUUUUAUUUUAUUGGCGUUGUACUUUAAUAAGCAACUACAUUUUAUUAAGUUAUUUGUUCUCUUCUGAUGUAAACAAAAUUUCAAUUUGAAACGUUUUUUAAAAGACCGAUUUGAUAAACAGCGCUACUCCGGUUUUCUUAAUCAUUCAAGUUUGCCAGUCCAUUUUUGAUUCUUUUUAUUUGUACAGUCGGGUUGCAAAGACGAUUUUCUGCACUUGUUUCAACUCGAGCCCCCACAAAUAAAUAAUGUAUUUUUUACAAAUCAAAUAAUUAUAAAAAAUAUUUUUAUCGGUUUCCCGUGUGAUGUCUCAUUAAAUGCAAUGACCAUUUGUUUAUUUUUACCAAUCUUCAAAAUAAAACAAUCCGUCGGCUAAUGAUAUAAAUAAAAGAAGUGGGUCCCCGUCAAAAGCAUUUGGAUCCAGUCAGAAGCAUCUCGAAACCAGUCAAAAAUGUUUAAUACGUUGCAGUCGGCUGCCUGCAAACCACGCGAGCACUGUUGUGUCACGUGCUAAAUACGGACCGAUUACCAAGGUGACAAUCAGACCAUUUGACAAGUUUAUUGAUUAUCUGAGGGGUGCGACUAACAAUUUCCUGCUUGGCAGAUGAUCAUGUAUUGAGAUUUCAGACCGAAAUUUAUACAUUUUCUCCAUUUUUACGGGACCGAUUUUUUUUGUUUUUUCACUUCAUGAAUUGGUCUGAAAAGUCAAAAAUCAGUCCAAAACCGACAAACCGGCAAAUUUCCAGAGCCCUGAUUUUUACAUUGAGUGAAAUAAACCUUCAUUUGAUCUAAAUGUUUAAAUCAAGCCAGGUACCACUUUGUGACCGCUCAAUGUCUGACGUCCGUCGUCCGUCGUGUGUCCGUCAACAUUUUCUAAAAAAAAUCUUCUUCUUGAAAACCACAGGGCAGAAUUACACCAAACUUCACAGGAAUAAUCCUUGGGUGGCCCCCUUUCAAAAUUGUUCAAAGAAUUGAAUUCCAUGCAGAACUCUGUUUGCCAUGACAACCGAAAGGAAAAACUUUAAAAAUCUUUUUCUCAAAAACCAGAAGCCCUAGAGCUUAAAUAUUUGAUAUGAAGCAUUGCCUAGUAGACCUCUAGCAAGUUUGUUCAAAUCAUGACCCCGCCCCAGGGGUCACUUGAUUUUACAUAGGAAAAUCUUAAAAAAUCUUCUUCUCAAAAAUCUGUUUGCCAUGACAACCGAAAGGAAAAACUUUAAAAAAUCUUUUUCUCAAAAACCAGAAGCCCUAGAGCUUAGAUAUUUGACGUGAAGCAUUGCCUAGUGAACCUCUACUAAAAUUGUUCAAAUCAUGACCCCGGGGUCAAAAUUGACCCCACCCCAGGGGUCACUUGUUUGUACAUAGGAAAAUCUUCAAAAAAAUUCUAAAAAUAAACCAGAAAGCCUAGGGCUUAGAUAUUUCACAUGUAGCAUUGCCUUAUGGACCUCUACAAAAUUUAUUCAAAUCAUGACCCCCGGGGUCAGAAUUGACCCAGCCCAAGGGGUCACUUGAUUUUACAUAGGAAAAUCUUCAAAAUUUUUCUAAAAAUAAACAAGAAGGCCUAGAUGUUAGAUAUUUGACAUGUAGCAUUGCCUAGUAGACUUCUACAAAAAAAUUUCAAAUCAUGACCCCUGGGGUCAAAUUGACCCUGCCCCUUGGGGUUACUUGAUUUUACAUAGGGAAAUCUUCAUAAAUUUGCUAAAAAUAAACCAGAAAGCUUAGGUCUUAGAUAUUUGAUAUGUAACAUUGCCUAGUAGACUUCUACAAGCUUUGUUCAAAUCACGACCCCCGGGGUAAAAUUGGCCCCGCCCCAGGGGUUACUUGAUUGGAAAAUUUUCCAAAAAAAAUUCUAAAAAUCAACAGUUUGACUUUUGAAACAUGUAGCUCAUAUUACUCAGGUGAGCGAUCCAGGGUCAACAUGACCCUCUUGUUAUGUUAAUGUUUACAUCAAGCCAGGUACCACUUUAUUUUUGAUGUAAAUGUUUACAUCAAGCCAGGUAUCACUUUAUUUUGGAUGUUAAUGUUUACAUCAAGCCAGGUACCACUAUAUUUUGAUGUAAAUGUUUACAUCAAGCCAGGUACCACUUUAUUUUGAUGUUAAUGUUUACAUCAAGCCAGGUACCACUUUAUUUUUUAUGUAAAUGUUUAUAUCAAGCCAGGUACCACUUUAUUAGCUCACCUGUCACGAAGUGACAAGGUGAGCUUUUGUGAUCGCGCGGUGUCCGUCGUCCGUCCGUGCGUGCGUGCGUCCGUCCGUAAACUUUUGCUUGUGACCACUCUAGAGGUCACAUUUUUCAUGGGAUCUUUAUGAAAGUUGGUCAGAAUGUUCAUCUUGAUGAUAUCUAGGUCAAGUUCGAAACUGGGUCACGUGCCGUCAAAAACUAGGUCAGUAGGUCUAAAAAUAGAAAAACCUUGUGACCUCUCUAGAGGCCAUAUAUUUCACAAGAUCUUCAUGAAAAUUGGUCAAAAUGUUCAUCUUGAUGAUAUCUAGGUCAAGUUCGAAACUGGGUCACGUGCCAUCAAAAACUAGGUCAGUAGGUCUAAAAAUAGAAAAAACCUUGUGACCUUUCUAGAGGCCAUAUAUUUCACAAGAUCUUCAUGAAAGUUGGUCAGAACAUUCAUCUUGAUGAUAUCUAGGUCAAGUUCGAAACUGGGUCACAUGCCGUCAAAAACUAGGUCAGUAGGUCAAAUAAUAGAAAAACCUUGUGACCUCUCUAAAGGCCAUAUUUUUCAUGGGAUCUGUAUGAAAGUUGGUCUGAAUGUUCAUCUUGAUGAUAUCUAGGUCAAGUUUGAAACUGGGUCACGUGCAGUCAAAAACUAGGUCAGUAGGUCUAAAAAUAGAAAAACUUUGUGACCUCUCUAGAGGCCAUAUAUUUCAUGAGAUCUUCAUGAAAAUUGGUCAGAAUGUUCACCUUGAUGAUAUCUAGGUCAAGUUCGAAAGUGGGUCACGUGCCAUCAAAAACUAGGUCAGUAGGUCAAAUAAUAGAAAAACCUUGUGACCUCUCUAGAUGCCAUAUUUUUCAUGGGAUCUGUAUGAAAGUUGGUCUGAAUGUUCAUCUUGAUGAUAUCUAGGUCAAGUUAGAAAGUGGGUCACGUGCCAUGAAAAACUAGGUCAGUAGGUCAAAUAAUAGAAAAACCUUGUGACCUCUCUAAAGGCCAUAUUUUUCAUUCAAUCUGUAUGAAAGUUGGUCUGAAUGUUCAUCUUGAUGAUAUCUAGGUCAAGUUCGAAACACGGUCAUGUGCGGUCUAAAACUAGGUCAGUAGGUCUAAAAAUAGAAAAACCUUGUGACCUCUCUAGAGGCCAUACUUGUGAAUGGAUCUCCAUAAAAAUUGGUCAGAAUGUUCACCUUGAUGAUAUCUAGGUCAAGUUUGAAACUGGGUCACGUGCCUUAAAAAAACUAGGUCAGUAGGUCAAAUAAUAAAAAAACCUUGUGACCUCUCUAGAGGCCAUAGUUAUCAUGGGAUCUGUAUGAAAGUUGGUCUGAAUGUUCAGCUUGAUGAUAUCUAGGUCAAGUUUGAAACUGGGUCAGCUGCGGUCAAAAACUAGGUCAGUAGGUCUAAAAUUGUUGAAAUCUUUUGACCUCUGUAGAGGCCAUAUUUUUCAAUGGAUCUUCAUGAAAAUUGAUCUGAAUGUUCACCUUGAUGAUAUCUAGGUCAUUUUUGAAACUGGGUCACGUGCGGUCAAAAACUAGGCCAGUAGGUAUAAAAAUAGAAAAACCUUGUGACCUCUCUAGAGGCCAUAUUUUUCAUGAGAUCUUCAUGAAAAUUAGUGAGAAUGCUCACCUUGAUGAUAUCUAGGUAAAGUUCAAAAUAGGGUCACGUACCUUCGAAAACUAGGUCAAUAGGUCAAAUAAUAGAAAAACCUUGUGACCUCUCUAGAGAUCAUAUUUUUCAAUGGAUAUUCAUGAAAAUUGGUCAGAAUUUUUAUCUUGAUAAUAUCUAGGUCAAGUUCAAAACUGGGUCACAUAAGCUCAAAAACUAGGUCACUAUGUCAAAUAAUAGAAAAAACGACGUCAUACUCAAAACUGGGUCAUGUGGGAAGAGGUGAGCGAUUCAGGACCAUCAUGGUCCUCUUGUUUUUUAUGUAAAUGUUUACCUCCAGUUACAGUCAUUUAAUCAUCGGUCAUUAAACAUAUGUUGGUAUAUUGUUGUAAGUAAAUAGAUUUAUGUUGUUGAAAUGGGGUAAGCUUUAAAUUUGUUGUAAGUUGGUAAAAGUUAUGUUUUAACCUUCACAAUAUGCCAUUUAUUUAUGUAAUAAUUCUUAUGUACUUUACAAAGAAAAUCAAAUUAUUUUUAGCACCUUGUAUUUCGUGUUGUCUAGAUUUUCAGGUAUCUAUAUAUUUUACACCUCCAAUGUACAAGCAAUAAGUGAUGAAGUUUUAUGAAACUAGUUAUAGUUGGACAAACUGUGUUUGCUUUUAAUAUUAGGCACUACAUAUCACAUCAUGUGGACCUAUUUAUAGUGAUCAAGAAAUAUUGAUACCAUAUAAAGAUCUAUUUAACAGAGAUUCAAAAUAAUAAUUAAUAUAUGGCAGAAGCACUCCAAAAUGCCACAAGAAAUCAUUCUUUCUAGCUGUGCCCUUGUAGAAUUAUUCUGCAGGACAUAAUUAAUAUAUUUUUGUGGUGUUUUAAUAAAUUUACACAUGCUUCUGCAAUAUUUUAUUUCUUAAUCAUAGAGGGAGUUCAAUGGGAACAAUUUUGUCACUAGCUAUGAUGUUGUAAAGGAUAUCUUGAAAUCGUCUUGUCUGACGAAAAUAUUUACUAUGACAGUUUCUUCAAUACCCUCAGACCAGUCUGUAAUGACCAUUCCAUUGAAUUGAAAAAAAAAAAACAUCUUUAGGCCAUGACAAAAUGAUAUAUCAUUCUUCCGAAAGUUAAAAUUGAGAGAAAAAUAAAAAAUUUGCUUGCUUGCUCGAUCUUUUUUUGAAAAUUUUCCAAGCAGCUAUGCUUAAGUUUGGAGUGAUCUCAUAAGAAGUAAAAUUGCACACUUUAUAGUGUACUUGUUAACUGGCUUAAAGUUUCAAAAUCCUAUCAGGCAAUUACGAAAAUAAGUUUAUUAUCCCCCAGGGAGGGAUCUUAUCUGAUGGUUUGAUGGAUUUUGUUUCAUCUCAGGUAGCUUGGGAGUCAAGGUUGUUACUAAAUAUAGAAAAAUGGUCUUAGAUCAGUAAUUUAGUAAGGAUUAGUAGCUUUCAAAGAAACUGAAAUUCAAUUGCAUUUAAGUGUUUUUUUAUAAGCAGAGAAUGCUCUUAAAAUUGUGAAACCUUUAUCCUGUCUGGAGGAGAAUACAAAUUUACUGACUUUGCUUGUAUUAUAAAAUUUCUAAUUUUUGUGUACAAUAUAUUUUUCUGACUGGAUACUAUUGAAAAUUUUUAUUAUUUUCAGGUUUUUAGCUGGUACAGUUGAAAUGCAGAUUUGAUAUACUUAAAAUUAAAUAAUUAUAUAUUUUGUCUGUAUAGGUAGUUAUUUUAUUAGACAAUAUAUUUUUACCUCAGUUGUUGAUUUUAAUGAACUAAGUCAGGGAUGAAUAUACUAUGAUACAUACUGUGUUCGGGCAUAGAAUGGGACAUUUGGAGUCUCUUGAGUGACCAAGUGGUUAAGGUCACUGCCUGAAAUACUUGCUUAUUUUUGCUGCCGGCGUUCAAAACUUUGCUUGGGGUGUAGUAUUCUUGCAUGUAAGGAAGUCGUACAUCUGGCUUGCAGAAGGCAUGUGGUUCUGUCCAGGUUAACUCCAGUAACUAUAUAAACAUACCUUCAUCAGACAGGACCUGAACUCUAUUGAAUGUACUUUAAGGCAGGGUUGACUGGUUCCCGGCUUGUAUUGGUUGUGUAAGCAGAGCAAAAGCAGUUUUACUUAUUGCUAGGAUCAAGACUGUGACUGGACAAUUACUUUAACCUUUACCCUUCUAAAUUUCCAAUUAAUAUACCAAUUAUUACUCAAAGGGGUUUUCACUGAAAAUUAACUGACUGAAUAGCGAACAGUGCUGACCAAGAUGAGCCUGCACAUCAUGCAGAUGCGGCAGAAUCACUUGCCACCAGCAGGCUAAAGAUUAAAGGUGGGAAUAGUUAAACGAGUAUGUUCAGCUGCACUCAAGGAUAGACUGUAAUUAUUGAAUAGACUGAGUUGCCUCAUGGAACUAUUUUUGAAAGUUUAAUUAUCGGUUAUGGUUAGAAUUUUAUAUUUUUAUCUUUAAAAUAUGUAUAGAUGGAAACUACACCAGUGCAAUAACGUUACAUCGUAUUUUCACCCCAAGCAUGACUAUUCAAAUUUCUGGGAGAAAUUCUGUUUAUAGGCAGGUUAUUGUUGAAAUAUCUAUGGAUGAACUAAAUGCAAAGGCAGGGUUUUUAUAAAUUGUGAUGAAACCUGACUUCAACAGUUACGAUUUUUUUUUUACAUUUUUUGUGAGAAAGAGACAAAAAUGUAUAGUUAUGGGCAUAGAGAUGUGUGUCUGAUGAAAGUCACAAAAUACUUUAAUAAAGUUUUGUGUUACAGGUAAAUCUACUUAUUUUGAAUUUGAAAUUCAGGCUUAACAAGAACAUUGUGACUAUGUACAGCUUAACUGUGUAAAAAUUGCACUUUUCGUAAUUUUAAUACCUCUGAAACUUAUUGAAAUAUUGAAAUCCUAUUAAAAGUGUGAAAUCUCUACCUCCAUUUUUAGCUGAUCUGAACCAAGGUUCAGGGUGAGCUAUGAGUAUUGUUGAAUAGUCCAACCUCCAGGGAUGAUCAGUGUCAAAACUUACACGUCUUCAAAGCUACUGGCCAAAAUUACACCAGACCUUGGCCUGUACUGUCCUUAGAAGUUAGGUAUUCAAAUUUGUUCAAAUGGUGCCACCUGGUUGUCUGAGCUUUAAGUAGGAAAAAACAUUAAACAGCUUCUUCACAUGAUCCUCGCCUCACAUGAGCAUGAAUGUUUACCUCACAUAAACAUCUUAACAUGAAUGUUCACCUCACAUGAAUGAUAACCUCACAUUUUAAUGGAGGUUAACCAAACUUGGUCAGAAGCAAUUUUAUGUGGUCUUUCCUUAAUAAUGGACAAAAGUUUGCCUCACUUGAGGGAUGUUUACCAAAUUUUAUCAGAAGAAUCCUUGCACAGACCUUGAUUUUUUUUCUACUUUUUCUGCAUGACUGCCCCAUUCUUGUCUUGGUAAUACAUAUAUCUGUCAUUUUUUUUAGAUGAAUAUUACAUGACAUUGUAGAUCUUUAAUGAUACAGUGUGUCAUGACAGAUUUGCAAGGUCAAAAUGUCAAGGUCAGGUGAGCAAUUUUACAGUAGUAAUUUAACCUUAAUUUUCAGAUGGCUAUGUGUAUCUAUGUCCUUAACAGUUAACAUUUUAGUUUGCUCUGAAAAUGAUUACAAGACUAUGUUUUUCUGAUAUAUUUUGUAAUUGUAUGUUUAUAUAUAUAAAUGCAUUUGAAACUAUUGAAAUAUUUAGAUAAAUUUUGAUUUUUGUUCAAAUUAUAGUAAAAUGAAAUACCUACUAAUUUUAGGUAAUACGACAUAAUAAAUUACAUUUUAGGCAACACCAAAUUGAAAAAUUAUUCAUCAGAUUUUUCAAAAAUAUUGAGCCAUUGUUUUUGGGUUUUUUAGCUCACCUGUCACAAAGUGACAAGGUGAGCUUUUGUGAUCGCGCGGUGUCCGUCGUCCGUACGUGCGUGCGUCUGUAAACUUUUGCUUGUGACCACUCUAGAGGUCACAUUUUUCUUGGGAUCUUUAUGAAAGUUGGUCAGAAUGUUCAUGAUAUCUAGGUCAAGUUCGAAACUGGGUCAUGUGCCGUCAAAAACUAGGUCAGUAGGUCUAAAAAUAGAAAAACCUUGUGACCUCUCUAGAGGCCAUAUAUUUCACAAGAUCUUCAUGAAACUUGGUCAGAAUGUUCACCUUGAUGAUAUCUAGAUCAAGUUUGAAACUGGGUCACGUGCCGUCAAAAACUAGGUCAGUAGGUCUAAAAAUAGAAAAACCUUGUGACCUCUCUAGAGGCCAUAUAUUUCACAAGAUCUUCAUGAAAAUUGGUCAGAAUGUUCACCUUGAUAAUAUCUAGGUCAAGUUCGAAACUGGGUCAACUGCGGUCAAAAACUAGGUCAGUAGGUCUAAAAUUAUUAAAAUCUUUUGACCUCUCUAGAGACCAUAUUUUUCAAUGGAUCUUCAUGAAAAUUGGUCAGAAUUUUUAUCUUGAUAAUAUCUAGGUCAAGUUCAAAACUGGGUCACAAGAGCUCAAAAAAUAGGUCACUAUGUCAAAUAAUAGAAAAAACGACGUCAUACUCAAAACUGGGUCAUGUGGAAAGAUGUGAGCGAUUCAGGACCAUCAUGGUCCUCUUGUUUGCUUUUAUUUUUGAGGAAAAUAUUUUAGAAUUAUAAUUAUAAUUGUACAGUGUGUAAGAAGUAGCAUAUACCAGAAGUUCACAAGAUGUUUAAAUGGUGCAAACACAAGCAAAAAAAUGCUUAAGAUUUACAAAAUAACAGGAGCAGCAAAUCUGAUGAAUAACAUUUUAAUUGGGUGAAACCCUAUUUGAGUUGUUAUAUUUUUAUAAUACAUUCAAUAAACUUGUUGAUACUAAAUUUGAAAAUAAAGAGUUUGCUUUUGGU